UACGUAGGGUGCAAGCGUUGUCCGGAAUUAUUGGGCGUAAAGCGCGUGUAGGCGGUUCGGUAAGUCCGCUGUGAAAGUCGGGGGCUCAACCCUCGAAUGCCGGUGGAUACUGUCGGACUAGAGUACGGAAGAGGCGAGUGGAAUUCCUGGUGUAGCGGUGAAAUGCGCAGAUAUCAGGAGGAACACCAAUUGCGAAGGCAGCUCGCUGGGACGUUACUGACGCUGAGACGCGAAAGCGUGGGGAGCAAACAGG
rnacentral:rRNA from 1 species